rnacentral:rRNA from 1 species
UUACAGAACGCCCGGGCUUCGGCCUGGUUAUUCAUAACCCUUUGUUGUCCGACUCUGUUGCCUCCGGGGCGACCCUGCCUUCGGGCGGGGGCUCCGGGUGGACACUUCAAACUCUUGCGUAACUUUGCAGUCUGAGUAAACUUAAUUAAUAAAUUAAAACUUUUAACAACGGAUCUCUUGGUUCUGGCAUCGAUGAAGAACGCAGCGAAAUGCGAUAAGUAAUGUGAAUUGCAGAAUUCAGUGAAUCAUCGAAUCUUUGAACGCACAUUGCGCCCCCUGGUAUUCCGGGGGGCAUGCCUGUUCGAGCGUCAUUUCACCACUCAAGCCUCGCUUGGUAUUGGGCAACGCGGUCCGCCGCGUGCCUCAAAUCGUCCGGCUGGGUCUUCUGUCCCCUAAGCGUUGUGGAAACUAUUCGCUAAAGGGUGUUCGGGAGGCUACGCCGUAAAACAACCCCAUUUCUAAGGUUGACCUCGGAUCAGGUAGGGAUACCCGCUGAACUUAAGCAUAUCAAUA